CCUACGGGAGGCAGCAGUGAGGAAUAUUGGUCAAUGGCCGGAAGGCUGAACCAGCCAUGCCGCGUGAAGGUCAGUGCCCUACGGGCGUUAAACCUCUUUUGUGCGGGAGCAAUAAUGGGCACGUGUGGCCAGACGAGAGUACCGUACGAAUACGCAUCGCCUAAAUCCGUGCCAGCAGGCGCGGGAAUGCGGGGGAUGCAAGCGUUAUCCGGAUUUUUUGGGGUUAAAGGGUGCGUAAGAUGUGAGGUAAGUCAGCGGUUGAAUGCCCCCGCUCAACGGGGUGAAGUGCCAUUGAUACUGCGUAGCUGGAGUGCGGAUGCGGUAGGAGGAAUGUGUGGUGUAGCGGUGAAAUGCAUAGAUAUCA
rnacentral:rRNA from 1 species